GAGUGACCCCAACAGAGUGUCCAGGGACUCAGGCCUCUGAUCAAGUUACCCCCAGAGGAUCAGAGAGGGGUUGACGAAGGAGAAGCAUUCAGAGGGCACUGGCUUCUGGACAGCAAUGAGUUCCCGGGCCACACGGCCCCGAAGCCGGCGAGGGAGGCAUGCUCCACCCGGUGAACUGGAUCCCGUGGCUGAGAGUUCAGAGGAGGUCGAGGCAGCCAGUGGGAGCUCCAAACCUAGCUUUGCCCCACCUCCAGUGAGCUCCGGGCUGGAGCAGCUGGGCCCCAUAGAGGAGGUCAGUGGCCAAGGCCAAGGAAGCAGGUAAGACCCGCUUGGUCUGUGCCCUUCAGUCCAGACGCAUCUUUGCCAUCCACAGAUCUGCUGAUGUGCCCGCUGUACUCACUCACCUACCAUAGCUCCCUAUUGCCUUCAGCCUGACUUUCUUUUUUUUUUUUGAGUCUUGCUCUGUCACCCAGGCUGCAGUGCA
rnacentral:sRNA from 1 species